GGGGUGAAUAUUUAUGCACUGUCAAGUUUUCUGUUUUUUUUUGUCUUAUUUCUUGUUUGUAUCACAAUAAAAAAUCUUUUGCAUCUUCAAAGUGGUAGGCAGUUGUGUAAAUCAAAUGAUACAAACCCGCGCAAAAUCCAUUUUAUUUCCAGAUUGUAAGGCAACAAAACAGGAAAAAUGCCAAGGGGGUGAAUACUUUGGCAAGCCACUGUAUUUACAGAUGGCAUAAAGGUUUGUUAUUAAGGCACAUGAAAGUUCACAUGUUCCAGAAUGAACGCAUUUUGAUAAAUAAAACAGUUCAAACAGCUCUCCUGUGAAGUAGUCACCCUCGACAUACGCCUAGUUGCCUGACUGGGCUGAUAAAACAGUGGAUUGCGCAGUCAGGUGGAACAGAGUAAAUAGAUUAACAUUUUAACGUCAUAGACUUAGCUGGCGGUAACUUGUUGAAUAAACACCGGCUGAAAUGCGGUUUUUAACCAAUCAGCAUUUAGGACUAGACCCACCGGUUGUAUAACAUUAUAACAUGACAUAAACAAUGUGUGACAGUAGUGUAUUUGGUUUGCUUGUCAGGACAACUAACUGUCCCGUGACCAUCGCUUUGCCAUAACAUGUGUCCAGUGUUGUAAGCAUGUACACUUGGAGGAACCAUAUAAACUAAACUGAGUUUGGAAUCAUAUAAAUAGAAAUAUAGAAUGGGUGUUUUCUCUUCUAAGGAUCCUAAUUAUGUGGUUUGAAUAUCCCAUGAAAGAGUACAUUGAGCACAAAAAGGGCUUUGUUUUGACUGUAUCAGACCUUAGUGGUAGACUACAUGCUGGUGCUUUGUAAAGAAUGUUUCGCAUUUAGUUUCAUCUUUUUAAUGUCUCAUUUAUUUUGUUUUUUUUAAUGUUGAAUUUUUAUGUUUCUGCCCCUUUUUAAUCAAUGUCUCAAGUGUGAGUGUCACUAUCAACAGUGAUGCAGUGACUCUCACUCAGUAAGUAAGCGUGCAAUGUCAGUUUGAAUCUUGAAUGGCUAUUUAAAUUGUAUUACACGUAACACAACCUGCCUAGCUCCUAUAACAGUUAUACUACUAUUGUGUGUCAUGGUCCAUAAACUGGUGCAACUCAAGAUAAACAACACAAACUUUCAAUACCCGUAUCAUAGUCCUCCAAAGGUCAUUCAUUGGUCCUACUAUGUUUGCGACAUUCAUUUGUCUUUUUUUAUUAACAACAUGAGAGUUAUGAUGUCAUCAGAGAUAUAUAGAGUAUGCAUUAUCAAUUGGUGUUGUUGUUCAUCAUUAUGACCCGCCACUGGUUAAACAGUAGAGAUGUAUUACUGUUAUUUCCCGCAAGAAGUAUAAAAAUGCAGAUUUCUUUUUUUUAUUUCUCCCUGAAUACAUGUUCGGUGUAAUGCUAGCCAUGCUUUUACUAGCUCUGGUCCAGGGUGUUCAAGUGGCUUGCUACGCAAGGCUCAAGCAGCGCCCUGGACCAGAGCUAUGCCUCUGCAUACAUUGACUUUGUCAAACACCUACCAAAGUGCUUUCCCCGGUUCCCCCUCAUGCGACAAGUCAUUGAAAGAGUUGCCAAAUGCAUGAAUGCCUUGAACUUUGAUAUUUGGAAGGAAAGUUGCUAUUACUACAUCCUAACAUGCAUGACAUUGGAAAGUGAUUAUAGGCCUAUAUGGUAAAGAAGCUCCAUCCGUACAUUGCAAUGAGUCAACGCAUUAUACAUACAGGCAACUUCCUAUCAGCUUCAUAUGAACUCAACAUGCCUUUGUGGCAAAUAAUAAUAAACAUUAAUUCCAUUAUGAGUGACAUCUCUUUAUGUCAGAGACUGUGUGUUAUGUGUGCAUACUGCACAUUCUAUAGAUAAGCCUAACAUGUGCAUUAGCAAGCCAGUCAUCUCAAGGGGAAGUCUAUGGACGACAGGGUUGCAAAUGUUUCGAAACUUUCCCAAAAUUCCCAGCGUUUCCAGAAAUCCCAAAUGGAGGAUUCCCAAAAUUCCCAAAUUUUCCAAGAAAUCCAGUUGGAGGAUUCACUUGAGAAUUUGGGAAAAAUGUCUGGAUUUUUUUUCCAUCCUAAUGGGGGUUAAGGUCUUACAGAAAAAACCCUAAACUGGCAAAAGGAAUCUCACUCAUUCAAGUUCAGUAGGCCCUACUGGUCAGUCCUGCGCUCGGUCUCAUGCAUUACUGUAAGAUGGGUUGGGCUUUGAUGACAUCACCGUUGUUGAUACAGCAGCACUGUUUGGCUGUAUGUUCAGUGCUGUAUUCAUACUGUACUGAGUCUGAAUCGCACAUGUUGAGAGGGCUGAAACUGGACUCUCCAAUUGGCUGGACAUAAAAGGAACAAUAAAAGUUUAGUUAACUAUCCAUUUAAGGUGACUUGUCUCUUUUAUAUAUUGUCUUGACUGUCCAUAGGCCGACUGAAGUACAGAAUGUACAGUGAAUAAAUGAAGAAAAGACUAAACUCGAUGUACACAA
ensembl:lncRNA